UGGACUAUUUCUCUCUCUUUCUUUUAUUGAAUAUCACUUGUUGCUCCCUCUCUCUGUCUUGGUUCUCGGGUUCUUGCCCAUUCUUUUCUUUACAUUAUGCUUCUGGCUUCCUCCAUAGUGUUCCCUGCUUUUUACACUUUUCUCAGACUUCAGGGAAGUUUGAAUCCAGACCUGAACUUCACAGGAAACCCACCAUCCAAUAGCAAAUCUAGCUGGCACCAGAGCUUUCUUUGUGAAACCAGAACGGGCAGGUUUUGGUCAGUGGCGUGGGAUUCACUGGGCUGGAGCAGAGGUAGAAGAGAACCCACAUGCAUUACCUUCACUGAACAUUUCUGGGAAACAUACAGUCUCAAGAGUUUCUCUGUACUGUCAGCAAGAGAAGGCAAUGAAGCUGGCUGAGACAACGGAUCCAAAAUAUGUGAGGUGCUGACAUCUAGUUUUGCUGAAGGUUCAGAAUGGCAUGUACAAAGGUGUUAUGUUGGUGACAGCUACACAUCAAAGACUUUCCUUGACAGAGCAAGAAGCUUGUGUCGAAUUACUUUAUUCUGGCUUCCAGGAUCACAUAUUAUGUAUUAUGAGAAAUAAGGCCAUGGUGCGUGUUCCCCUAAUGAUGUACUUCAAGAACAAAAUGCUGGUGGAUUGUUACCUACUGAUGACAAUUACACAUGCAAAAAGCCAUCAUUCAACAAAAAGGGGGGCCCAAAUAAAAUCCUGGGUCUCAAUGCCCUGGAGUUUGUGGAAGUUCCUCAUCAGAGUCAUGAAGUUGCUAUUAAAUUGCUCCUUAAAACCUA